rnacentral:rRNA from 1 species
CCUACGGGAGGCAGCAGUGAGGAAUAUUGGUCAAUGGGCGCGAGCCUGAACCAGCCAAGUCGCGUGAGGGAAGACGGUCCUAUGGAUUGUAAACCUCUUUUGUCGGGGAGCAAAAGACGCCACGCGUGGCGUUCCGAGAGUACCCGAAGAAAACGCAUCGGCUAACUCCGUGCCAGCAGCCGCGGUAAUACGGAGGAUGCGAGCGUUAUCCGGAUUUAUUGGGGUUAAAGGGUGCGCAGGCGGAAGAGCAAGUCAGCGGUAAAAUUGAGAGGCUCAACCUCUUCGAGCCGUUGAAACUGGUUUUCGUGAGUGAGUGAGAAGUAUGCGGAAUGCGUGGUGUAGCGGUGAAAUGCAUAGAUAUCACGCAGAACUCCGAUUGCGAAGGCAGCAUACCGGCGCUCAACUGACGCUCAUGCACGAAAGUGUGGGUAUCGAACAGGAUUAGAUACCCGUGUAGUC